GAGCGAUGGAUUAAGAGCUUGCUCUUAUGAAGUUAGCGGCGGACGGGUGAGUAACACGUGGGUAACCUGCCCAUAAGACUGGGAUAACUCCGGGAAACCGGGGCUAAUACCGGAUAACAUUUUGAACCGCAUGGUUCGAAAUUGAAAGGCGGCUUCGGCUGUCACUUAUGGAUGGACCCGCGUCGCAUUAGCUAGUUGGUGAGGUAACGGCUCACCAAGGCAACGAUGCGUAGCCGACCUGAGAGGGUGAUCGGCCACACUGGGACUGAGACACGGCCCAGACUCCUACGGGAGGCAGCAGUAGGGAAUCUUCCGCAAUGGACGAAAGUCUGACGGAGCAACGCCGCGUGAGUGAUGAAGGCUUUCGGGUCGUAAAACUCUGUUGUUAGGGAAGAACAAGUGCUAGUUGAAUAAGCUGGCACCUUGACGGUACCUAACCAGAAAGCCACGGCUAACUACGUGCCAGCAGCCGCGGUAAUACGUAGGUGGCAAGCGUUAUCCGGAAUUAUUGGGCGUAAAGCGCGCGCAGGUGGUUUCUUAAGUCUGAUGUGAAAGCCCACGGCUCAACCGUGGAGGGUCAUUGGAAACUGGGAGACUUGAGUGCAGAAGAGGAAAGUGGAAUUCCAUGUGUAGCGGUGAAAUGCGUAGAGAUAUGGAGGAACACCAGUGGCGAAUGCGACUUUCUGGUCUGUAACUGACACUGAGGCGCGAAAAGCGUGGGGAGCAAACAGGAUUACAUA
rnacentral:rRNA from 1 species